GUCCCCAUGGCCUAAUGGAUAAGGCGUCGCUCUCCGAAGGCGGAGAUUGCGGGUUCGAGUCCCGCUGGGGACU
rfam:Saprolegnia diclina VS20 unplaced genomic scaffold supercont1.37, whole genome shotgun sequence.